UGAAUAUGUAGUUGCAGUGUCUGACUUGUUGAAAUCCUUGAUUGCAAAGCUUGGGCAGCAAGAGGUCAGUCAAAAUGCUGAUUAGAACGCUAGAAGAACACUCGGCAGGAAGAAGCAUUUCAAUCCAGGAGAUUUAGCAGAUGCGCAAUGGGGCUACAAAAAGGAUGUCAAAUAGCAGGGUAAUUCUGGUGGAGAAGCCUAUUAUUAACACCAGUCAUUAGAGGCAAAUUCUGGUGGAGAGCCACAUCAUUGACAGUAGAUCCCGUGCCAUCAAAGCAGUAAACAGGGGCUUGCCAUUUCUCAUCCUCUAGCACGGCACCCACUUCAAAUGUCAUCACAUGAGCCUGUCUUCCUGCAAAAUUGGGGAAGGGAAAGGAAAAACACCAGUGAAUAGUGAAUGGCAAGAACUUAAGAAUGAAAGUGACGAUGUGAUUGUUGUCAAAGCAAACAUAGCUUAGCAGUGUUUGUAUUAUUUCUGUUUUUAUUAUGAACUAUAACGUGGCAUCAACGUUUUGUUUGAAGGCUAUUUAAAGUCUUGUUUGAUAGUUUUACUAUGAGUUAAGUUGUGGGCUUCUUUCAAGAUUACCCAA